rnacentral:rRNA from 1 species
GAACCGUCCAAACGUUAUUCGGAAUCACUGGGCUUAAAGGGUACGUAGGCGGCGCUGUCAGUCGGGUGUGAAAGCCCACGGCUCAACCGUGGAAUUGCGCCCGAUACUGCAGUGCUUGAGGGAGACAGAGGUAAGCGGAACUGAUGGUGGAGCGGUGAAAUGCGUUGAUAUCAUCAGGAACACCGGUGGCGAAAGCGGCUUACUGGGUCUCUUCUGACGCUGAGGUACGAAAGCUAGGGGAGCGAAGGGGAUUAGAUACCCCCGUAGUCCUAGCUGUAAACGUUGAGCACUUGAUCGAGGGCCCCCCCAUAGGCUCCCGGUCGUAGCGAAAGUGUUAAGUGCUCCGCCUGGGGAGUAUGGUCGCAAGGCUGAA